UACGAAGGGGGCUAGCGUUGUUCGGAAUUACUGGGCGUAAAGAGCGUGUAGGCGGUCCGGUAAGUCCGUUGUGAAAGUCAGGGGCUCAACCCUUGAAUGCCGGUGGAAACUGUCGAGCUAGAGUCCGGAAGAGGCGAGUGGAAUUCCUGGUGUAGCGGUGAAAUGCGCAGAUAUCAGGAGGAACACCAAUGGCGAAGGCAGCUCGCUGGGACGGUACUGACGCUGGAGACGCGAAAGCGUGGGGAGCAAACAGG
rnacentral:rRNA from 1 species